CCCCCCCAAUCUCCAAAAAUAGUAUCUAAUACACAGCAAUAAACUCUGAGCAAGCCAGAGUCCUGGAAGACGUGGACCUGCUUUCAGCUCUGCCGUCCCGGCACUACGGGACGAACCCACUCAGACCGAGCAGAACACACACGUGCCCCAACCCGCCAGGCAGGCGCGAAGCAGGGAGCGGCACAGCAGGCCUGUUCUACACCACCACGUUCCUGAGCCCCAGCAGCUCCAGCCCUGCAUGGCGGCUGUGCCGUUGAGUGCUGUCUGAGUCGACGUGGGACCAGCCGGAGAGGACAGACUGGUGGAACCAGGCUGACGGUAACAAAAAGCAUCCUUGAACUGUAUUAGACUUUGGCAUUUGCUGUGGAGAUGCAGAAGCGCCGGUAGGUAAAUGAGCUCAGUGCUGGCCCGGAUCCCGUUUCCCUUGGAUUCUCAGCAAGGGUAUUUCCCUCCCCGCCGCGAGUGCACGAAGCAGACAGAUCUCUCCCACACUGAAGCACCAAACAGAGCCUGAAACACUCAGUACCUCGCAGCUGCUCAGAAUCUGGCUCACACCGAGGGCUGAAGCCGCUCUGCUGGUCCUCUCCCACCUGCUGCUGUUUUCCAUCAACAAAGGGCCUGCUCAGCCAGGCUUCCAACACCAAGACAUCCUGGCUGCCGCCAUCUCACUUCAAUGCAAAGGAAGGCCAAGGGACAUGUAUGGGCCUCUGCUCCCUGGGGCGGGGGAAGCCCUCAGCAGGUGACCGCAGGGAGCAGAGGACCUCAGCCUCGCUCUGCAGGCAGAAGCCACGAGCACCAAAGGACUACCAGGACACAGCUGCAAUGCGCUCCGCUCUGAGCUGCACAGACACGCAGGCACCAGACUGCCUAGAAGCUCUCCAUCCCGCCCUCAGGCGAUUCCUGGGGCGGACAAGACCUUGAAGAGCUCUUCCAGUUCUUCCAUCUCCUGCCAUGCUUUUCUUCCCAUUGACUUUGAGGGCCGGAACCAAAGAUUCUCGCUCACAGUUCUGUGCUUCAGCUGUGACCUCCAGAGCUGGCACGAAGGGGCAGUGAGGCAGCCUGCAGCUGGUCACAUGGGCAGGGAAUGCCUGUCCCUUGGGCAAAAAACACCACCACAGUCAGGAAGCUCCUCGAAAAAAGAAAAAGAAAAAAAAAAAAGAAGCUUCUUCAAAUGGACUUUUAUUCAAAGCCCGACACAAAGGCACCAAAAAGACGGGAAUUCAUUUGGCUUUCUGCUCCCUGCCACCUGGGAUACUCAAAAGGGUCUGAGCUGCUGUUGUAGGUACGCACACAGACAUGAAGAACGGCCGUAGCAAAGCAGAGAGCACAAGCUGUGAGACAACAGCCAGCUGUGCCUCUGCAUCCCCAGGACAGAGCGGAGGGGCUGAUAAGGGGUAAUUCAAACAGCACUACCCUGGGGCUGGAUCCAGGCCCAGAACAUGAUCAGCUGCAUCGCCUCACCUCUACCAAGGGGAAGCUUUAUUCAAAUUGCCUUACCUGCCCCUCUGCACAACCACUCCAACCACUGAGCCAGGCUCUGUUCUGGUCCUGCCUCCCACACUGCUGCACAGAGACGCUCUCUACAUCUGCCUGCUGAGCUCUGCAACAAAGCACGAGGAGCCUUAUCUCUGACUGCCUUCAGUUAAACACUGCCUUGGACAUUCCCUCAAUCACCCCUGCUGGAAAAUCACAGCCAGCCCAAAUGUUUCCUUCCCCAUAUCAGGCCAGGUACUUCAUCACACCCAUCUGGCUGGCUUGCAGGUGCCAGACGGAUGACAAGGGAAGCCAGACUGAGCGUGUCCUCCCCAUACUGUCCUCCUGUGUCCCCACACGCUUUGUUUGAUGGCUCUGUCUGAGCCAGACCUGCCAGGAGAGGAUGGACUAACAAAGAAAACCAUUCGCAUCACCAUCAGGGUCAGAAACUCCCCAGUCACCUGGAGAGCAAACACCAGCUUCACAGCAGUGACAAAAAUGCAUAAAGCCAGAGCCAAAACAACUAAGCUGAAGCCAAGAAGACUGAACCAUUUCUACUCCAUAUUCCUAUUCAAAUGAGACAAAUUCAUUUGAACUGAGAGAAAGCAGAACACAACAGACCAAACCCUGCACAGCCUUGUCUUAGGGUGGCUGAUGGCACCAAUGAAGUCCCCUGCUUGGCAAGAGAGGCAGGGAUCAAGUACCCUACAGGAGUAGGGCACACCUACACGCAUAGCCCUGUUCUCAUGCUCUGCUGCAGGGUGCAGAGAUUACCAGGGGAGCCACAAGAAGCUGAGUGACUUCCUGCUGCAAGGAUGCUAAAAAAUAAACAACCAAAAAAAAAAAACCCACCAGCAAAACAACCCAAAACCUACAAGGCCUGGAGGAGAACAGCUCCUUACAGAGAAGCCUGCUUUCAAAUCCAGGUUCUUUGCUUAACAAAUCAGGGCAGUUUACGCUUCUCAGACUGAUAUAGAUCUAAAUGUCUCUAUGCUCCAGUUAGAGCAAUGAAAAAAACACCAGUGGAUCUUAGCAGGCACUGCUACUAAACAAGACACAGCUCCUACUGAAGACCUGUAUAAGCACUGGGAUUCUAACAACACCUAGAAGACGAAGCAAACAACUUCAAGCUUACUGCCCUUUCAUCCCUGGGUUUGCUCUUAAGAUCUGCUCUCUCUGAAGUCUGCCUUCUCCUUCCAAGUGUGGUAGGGACUCUCUUGCAUGAGUAGAAAUGGCCAGUCUGGAGAAGCAAUUGGAAAGAAGUUCAAUUGUUUGCUUUUUAGCACUCAGAAUGAUAGUCAGGCCCAUUGCAGUGAUGCAUGCUAUCAGAAAGUCAGCAAAGGUUCAGUGCCACUGCUGCAGACAUGAGCACUGUGACACCCUGAGCUCCUGUUUUAGGGCUCAUGAGCUGACAGCUCAUAUCACAGCUUGAGGGCUAUGAAGAAGUAAAGGAUUCAGCUGCUCUGGCCCAGCAGAAAGGUUGCCCCUCAAAUUCUGCUGACCCUUCUCAGCUCAAAGAAAGGCUGAGCCACUGCACAGCAUCAAACCUGAGAACAACUGCUAGGAAAACUCGGGUGCAGGAAGGAGCAGCAGCAAGGACGUGGCUCAGAGCAGCUGUACCAGGAAGAGAGCACUUAUACGAACAAGACAGCAUGAGUAUGGGAUGUGGCCCAGGACUGCUACCAUCUGCUUCCGAUAGCCCAAUACACAGCCAGCCAGGACUCAGUUCACUCUUGGAUGUCCCAGGGAGGAUCAGAGGCUGCACAUGGUGCGACGGGGAAGGCAAGGGCCUUGCUGCUUGCUGGCAGGGGGAAGUCCUGGGUGCGGCUGCAGCUUUGGAACAUCUGUUGAACAAGAAGAAAAGUUACAAGGAGGCAGAAUGUAACCCAGGAAACCUCCCUGUCCUCAGAAAACCCCAUAAAUUACUUGUUUGCAGGACUGCUGCUGACAGACAAAGCCAGAGAGAAUUCAUCUGCUGCUAUAACUUAAGACUGACCAGACGUGUUCCUUUCUCUUCUACCCCAUAUGCAAGAAGUCUUGUACCAAAUUCAUGCUACUUAUUCUGCAAACGACAGCUUUGUGCACUUACAGAGAAGGAGAAUGCUAAGGCACCUAUCUCAUUCUGCACCCUGUGGGAACGUGCCGAUAGAGAAACAGACUUGGCGGAGGAUGUACAGGGCGCAGAUUUUCGGAUUGUCAUAGUAGCCCUAGAGAAAGUGAAGGUGGAAAUCAUUGCUGCAGCAUAAUUCAAGAACCAAUCUCCCCACCUACUAUCACCUUCCCUACCCCCAGCACACAGCUGCAUCACGUGGCUGGGAAAGAAAAGGGAAAAGGAAGAUCAAGGCUCCGGCCAGCAAGGCCUCGUUACCUUUACAAACUCAAUAUGAAGCUUUCCUGUGAACGUGGAAACCUCUCCCUGGACACUCAGUUUUCCCUUUUUGAUACUCAUGGGAAUGAUCUCGUCGUGAGCCGUGCUAUGUCCAACUCUGUCAAAAAUGUCCAAGUCCUUCACCACGACAUGGCCGUUCAAGCGAACAUCAAACACCUUCAGGGCGGAAGAAACGACAGUGUCAGAACAGAUUCAGGCAUGCGACAGUUGAAAGAGGAAAACCAGAAAGCAUUGCAACACGCACUGUACCACCACACGUUCUCCACUCCCUUGAGAAGGAUUCAGAGGCCAAAAGCAGCCAUCGAGGCGUUAAGGUUGCUUUCAAAUACCCUGAAAUUUGCCUCUUACUUCUAACAUAAUUCCUAUGCCUGCUGUUCAAAACUGAACAACACAAUCCUGUUCUGUUUUAAAUCAUUUCCCUUCACAGCUUUCCACCUGCUGGCUGAGGACCUGCUCCUACCACCCUAGGGAGGCUGUGGCACACCACGCCCAGGGAGUGAGGCCAUUUCUGAUGAACAGCCCAGAGCAAAGCAGGGAACAGGAAACAGAGUGGUGAAGCUACUGACAGGAUGUGGGGUUUGAAGGAGAUGAAAUGAUCAACUGCUAACCACAUCUGAAUUCAGAGUGAAAGUCCUCCUCGGGGCCUUAAUGACUCAAACUUCAGGCAGCACAUAGGGGAAUCCCAGCAGAACCCCAUGAGGGAAGAAGAGCCAGAGAUGUCUCAGCUCUUCAGCUUAAUCUGAGACUGUUUUUUGCAUCCUUUUUGUAAACCAGCCCCAACAGUUCUGUUCCCUGAAAUAUUUCUCUGGCAGGAUGGCAGUACAGUGUUUAAGAGGAGCUCUACAGCAGCUGAGAGUGAGGGAAAAGCCAGAUUGAAAUAUACAUUUCUCUCUCAGUUUAUCACAGGGCAUUGGGUUCUUUGUGCUUUCACUUCCGUAUCUUUACAAGAGGGAUUUCAAAAGCAGGCAAGGAUUAUUUAUCUCCAGAGAGCUUUGAUGAGGGUUGAAUUUAACUCUGUGCCUGCAGUGUCAUUUUGAACCAUUAUUAACUGCAAUUACACUCGUACAAAUUGUGUCAGUAGUUUAUUUAACCCAGAUCAUUUCCCUGAUUCAGUCCGUGCAAUACUUGCUCCAAAACAGGCCUGCAGUUGCAUCAGACACAAGCAGCCAGGGAGAUGGCAAGAAUACUUCUCAAACACAGCACAGACUAAACAGAUCAUAAAAAUCCAAUGCUAUUUAUGUGUUGUUGCACAUGUUUGUUUGAACACUCUUGUAAUGCAGUUUUACGGGCCAAAUGUGCAUCUGUCACGUGGAAGAGGGUGCCAUGUAUCAAACCACCCUCUUACGAGCUCUACAGAUGAAGUUAACCUGUAGUGUCUCACUUCACUUUCUCCACGCAAAGCAUAAAAAACAGCAGAGGCAACCCAGGCAUACACAGCUUUAACUAUCAAAGAGACAGGAAAGCUCAGAGUUGCACAGAGCUGUUGCUUACCUUCUGCUGAGAUUGUGCAAAAUAGACCUCUGCAAACUUCAACACCAACACGUAGUCACCCUCUUCUUUGAUGGGAACUUCAUAGCCAAAGGUUUCCUCGUUGUAACGCUCUGUCUGGUACAGGAUCUGAUCUUCUGCAUUGGACCGCAGGAUUGGCAGUUUCAUACCGUAGUCAGAAGCUGUAUUUCAAGCACAAAACAGGGAGAGGAACGGUUAAUUUCUGAGGAACAUGAAGAGAUGCUUUAUUUACUCUUAAGUGCAUAACUCCCACACUGGCCUUAGCACUCACUGCCUUAGUGAGGCCCAUCCUCACUCCUUGCUCUGGUCAGGAGAAGGCACCACUGGAGCAGAAGUAGAAACAGCCAAAAUCCCUGAACCUGGGUCCUGCAGAAAAACGGGUCUGGACCUGCAGCAGUCCAAGAGACAAAAUUCGCUCACAGAGUUUCAAUAAGAAGAGCUGGUUUCACAAGCAGGGCACAGAGCCAAAAGACUUGGCCCCAGACUCCUGCUUCAAAGAGGGAAAAAACGCCUAGAAUAUUUUUACAACAUUUUCAAAGUACAAACUCUGAGUACAGAACCUAAGCAGUCACUUCAGGACUGACUGCAGUCAUUCAUUCAGCAGGUUUGAAGUUAGCAGGCAGCGGCACAAGGUUUUAGACUCACUCUCCAGCAGCAAAAACCUGAGGGAAGGCAGAAGGGUGAAAAGCAGCAGAUAAGACUUACAAAACCCUUUCUUCUCACCACAGGCAGGCAGUACAUAUCAGCUUGAACAAGGAAGUAGGAAAAGUACAGAAGGGUUUCAAGAGCAGCUCCAUCUCACAGCCACUCGGCUGAAACGGGCACCAACUGCAGGCUCUGAACAGCCCCUAAGAAGGGCUCAAACAACACUGCCAAUAGCUGAGAAAACAACAGAAGUCAUAACAUUUGCCUCUUCUUGCUCCCUACGUCACCACCUCCUGAGCAGCUCUCAGGAGCUCUUACCCUGACUCGGCGUUCUGUUGCGCUACUGUGCAAAUGCAAACUGAUGUGUGCCUUGAGAGCUCAGAACAGAACAACGCCUCAGCAAUGCAGGAGGGAAGGCUGCAGGCACCCAAAGCCCAGUGGCACCUCAGCCAGCAGAAGGUGAUGCAGACCAAGUUAUCUACUGACACUUACCACUGCCACCCCUGUUUCCCUGGGAACAGACACUGCGUUGGCCAAGACAAAGCAAGAACUUCUAACCCAGAACAUAUUGCCAAAAUGGAGCCAAUGCAGACGAGCAAGAGGAAAUUAAUGCCAGUUCUUCAUCUCGUGUUUCACACGCAGCUACUCAGGCAGUAUUACAUGCUGCUGCUCUUUGCCACUCAAACCAGGGCACAGAGACUGGAGGCUCUAAUCAGCAGCAAUACAGAGGGUGAAAAGUUUAACCAGUCCUCCCACACAGACAUCUCCAGCCAGCUACAGAUUACAGCAGUCACAAACCAAGGGCUCCACACAAGUCAGCUCCUAUCAGAGGAAAGCCUGCGUAUAAAGGAAGCCCAUUAAUAGCCAAGACGGUAACUGGAGAGGAAGAGUUGUCACCCAGAGGACUGUUGACAUAGCCAUGAAAGUGAUCUUGAUUUCCCAGUGCAUUAGGUGUGCUCGGAGGCAGCUCACCAGGAGACAAGUGCACGCAUUACGGACACGUAAUUGCUAUCAGCACAUCCUGUUCCUCGGGGCUCAGCAUCUGGACUGAGGCUCGAAAAGCCCAGAGGUGAAGUGCUGCCCCACGUCCUUCCCUCCCAGCCCGCCACGUACUCCCAGUCAGCCACUGCAUGCCGAUCUGCACAGAGAAGCCUGGCACCAAGCAAACAAUUGUGCAAUAAAAAGCCAUUG
rnacentral:lncRNA from 1 species